UACGAAGGGUGCAAGCGUUACUCGGAAUUACUGGGCGUAAAGGGUGCGUAGGUGGUUUGUUAAGUCUGCUGUGAAAUCCCCGGGCUCAACCUGGGAAUGGCAGUGGAUACUGGCAAGCUAGAGUGCGGUAGAGGGUAGUGGAAUUCCCGGUGUAGCAGUGAAAUGCGUAGAGAUCGGGAGGAACACCAGUGGCGAAGGCAAUCCCCUGGACCUGUACUGACGCUCAUGCACGAAAGCGUGGGGAGCAAACAGG
rnacentral:rRNA from 1 species